rnacentral:rRNA from 1 species
GAUGAACGCUGGCGGCGUGCCUAAUACAUGCCAGUCGAGCGAACAGACGAGGAGCUUGCUCCUCUGACGUUAGCGGCGGACGGGUGAGUAACACGUGGAUAACCUACCUAUAAGACUGGGAUAACUUCGGGAAACCGGAGCUAAUACCGGAUAAUAUAUUGAACCGCAUGGUUCAAUAAUGAAAGACGGUUUUGCUGUCACUUAUAGAUGGAUCCGCGCCGCAUUAGCUAGUUGGUAAGGUAACGGCUUACCAAGGCGACGAUGCGUAGCCGACCUGAGAGGGUGAUCGGCCACACUGGAACUGAGACACGGUCCAGACUCCUACGGGAGGCAGCAGUAGGGAAUCUUCCGCAAUGGGCGAAAGCCUGACGGAGCAACGCCGCGUGAGUGAUGAAGGUCUUCGGAUCGUAAAACUCUGUUAUUAGGGAAGAACAAAUGUGUAAGUAACUAUGCACGUCUUGACGGUACCUAAUCAGAAAGCCACGGCUAACUACGUG